GGUUCUAUAGUGUAGCGGUUAUCACAUCGGAUUCUGAUUUUCCACCUUCGGAUGGGCGAUUCUUUCGGUAACCCCGGCUCGAUUCCGGUAGGACCU